GUGCUCGCUUCAGCAGCACCUAUACUAAAAUUGAAACAAUACAGAGAAGAAUAGCAU
rnacentral:snRNA from 1 species